UUAGGAAUAUUCGUCAAUGGAGGAAACUCUGAACGAGCAAUGCCGCGUGAGUGAUGAAGGUCUUAUAGAUUGUAAAACUCUGUUAUAAAGGAAGAAACAUUGCUAUAGGAAAUGAUAGCAACUUGACGGUACUUUAUCAGAAAGCCCCGGCUAACUACGUGCCAGCAGCCGCGGUAAUACGUAGGGGGCGAGCGUUAUCCGGAUUUAUUGGGCGUAAAGCGUGUGUAGGCGGUUUAUUAAGUCUAAGAUUAAAGCCCGAGGCUUAACCUCGGUUCGUUUUAGAAACUGGUAGACUUGAGUGUGGUAGAGGCAAGUGGAAUUUCUAGUGUAGCGGUAAAAUGCGUAGAUAUUAGAAGGAACACCAGUGGCGAAGGCGGCUUGCUGGGCCAUCACUGACGCUGAGACACGAAAGCGUGGGGAGCAAAUAGG
rnacentral:rRNA from 1 species